UACGGAGGAUCCGAGCGUUAUCCGGAUUUAUUGGGUUUAAAGGGUGCGCAGGCGGGAGAUUAAGUCGGCGGUGAAAUUUUGCAGCUCAACUGUAAAAGUGCCUUCGAAACUGGUUUCCUUGAGUGUAGAUGAAGUAGGCGGAAUUUGUGGUGUAGCGGUGAAAUGCUUAGAUAUCACGAGGAACUCCGAUUGCGCAGGCAGCUUACUAAACCACUACUGACGCUCAUGCACGAAGGCGUGGGGAUCAAACAGGAUUAGAUACCCGGGUAGU
rnacentral:rRNA from 1 species